rnacentral:tRNA from 1 species
GCAACUCUUUGUAGUCACUCUUUUUUCUUUUCUUUCGUUUUUUCCUCGUCAGGAUCUGGAAGGGAUUCGUAAUCAGUAGGUCGCCGGUUCGAAUCCGGCGGGUGGCUCCA